rnacentral:lncRNA from 1 species
ACUAGAGAUAUCAGAGCAAGUAUAUAGCUAGGUUCUAACAUCAGGUAGAAUCAAAAGAAAAUCAUACUACUAAAGCAUAAAGUAAACUGAUACAUCAUAAAUCAAAAGAUACAAAUAUAGGGUGGUCUCUAUAACCAGGUACAAAACUCUCACAACCUCUCUAAAAGAAAACAAAAGAGAGGUGGGCCACCUAUCACCAAGUCCCUUGAUAGCUAACUCGAGGCGAAACCUUUCCCGCGAUCCCGAGCCUCUCCCGGAGUGGAAGGCUCUGAAAGAAAACAUAAAACAGGGGGCGUGAGAACUAUAAAUUAUAGUUCCCAGUGGGCAAUUACUGACUUGCACCAAAUUGCACCACAAGGCCCAAAACAAGCAGAUAUAGAUAACAGGAAAUAUCAACAGUAAUCGAAGCAUGAAAUUAAAAUGCUACUCUACUAUGCCACAAGUAUUCUGAAUGUCAACAUGGAGUACAUCUACUCUACAUGAUCCAAUAUGCCCAAAACUUAAACAAUGUAUCAUGAUGCAACAAGUAAUGCUAUAAAGUGUGAUAUAUAUUCUAGAGCCCACUACAUAUCUAGUAUGUACUAUCAUAGCAACCAAGAAUACUACAAUGUAAUAAGCGAUACUGUCAAGCAUACUCUAAGCCCAAAUGUCCAACACUAUGCCAUAGCAUAUCAAGAGUCCAACUACUAUAACCUAGCUAGUAGCGAAUGUCCACUUAUUGCUUAAUAUUCUGGUUCAAUCUCAAUCAGGAUCUACACAGGUGUAGUCCGGCUUGUGCCGCCUAAGUGCCAGUGGUAGCUCCAGCAUUCCCACUCUAGGAAUGAGUCUAUCCCUCCAGGCCCCGUAGGCUACUCGAUACCGCACGGGCGAACAUAAGUCGCGUAGGCUAACUCCGGAGUGCCGGCUUGUGGGGAGCGACCCUCACAAGCAUGUGCGUAUGAGCACAAAUGGCAAGCAAGCAUGGUCAAAACCUCAAUAGUCCAAUCGUCAUGUCUCCAACAUGGAAAUGCAACUCAACAGUCAUCAUGUCUCUAACAUGGAAAUGCACACUAGCAACCCCAGUGUCUAGUCUAUGCCUCAAGUGAAGGUUUAACCGUUCGAUAAUUCAAUGUCAAUGACCUUAGCUUUACUAAGUCCAAAACUCAAGGUGAAGUUCCCACAUUCACUAUGUUUAGUGCCUCUUUAUGACACUUAAACAUUGCUAUAAUCUAAGCUCAAUUCACAUUCUAUGUCUCUUUAUGACGCUAGCUUGUUCUAUCAAUAAUAGAUUAAUACACAUGCUCUCUAGCGUGUUCUCAUAUUGCUACAUGUAAGUUCUUUCCAAUGCGACUAUUAACUUGGCAUAAUUCUCAUAAUAAUAGCAUGCACAUGCAAUUUGCAUAUCCAUCAAGUCUAAUGCCGCUUUAUGACAUUAGCUUGCUAAACUCAUAUCUAGUCCAAGCCUAAUGCCGCUUUAUGACAUUAGCUUACUAUUUGUAUACACUCUAGCCUAUGUCACUUAAUGUCGAUAUGUCCAACCACGUCAAUCAUGCGUUCUAAGUCCAAGAGUGUAAUCUAUAUGCCAUAUGUACCAUAUGCAACAUGAUCUCAAUCAAUUGUAAGAAUGCUAACCGUAGGCCCCUAGCCCAACAUGAAAACUCUCUACUAUAUAGAGGUCAAAUAUGCAUUGUAUAUAACAUGUGCAUUUUAAGCAUUCUAAAAUUCACAAAUAAUGCAUCUAACACAAAUAUGCAUGCUUUUCAAUUUACAACACUUAAACCAUCAACAAUGAGAUUUUCUCAUUGUGUGGCUAGGCCAAACCCACCGAACCGUCGUGUAGUCCCUCGUUUUGCCGAACGGAGUUGUCCACGAGUCUCAAAAUACCCUAAAAGUAAUGAGCGAAGGGAUACACAAGGAUUACGAACAACGAAUAGGUUAAACAUUAACCAACUCAAAGAAAGGGCCAAAACUCACCUAUGGUGGUGAAAAUCCCUCACAAGCUCCAAAUGGAAGCUAGAUCCCUUCCAAUGCAACCUAGAUAAAGGUUCUAAUCCAAUCAAUUUAGCUCAAAAGGCCCAAGAAUCAAAAUGCCCAAAAUCAACCCUAAACUCACAUUCUAGGGUUUCAUCUCAAAUCCACCAUCAAAAUACAAAUCAAGAGGAGAGAACAAGCAUCUAACCUCUUAAGAAGCUCCCAACAAGGCCCCAAACCAACUAGGGUUGAAGUUCUCCUCUCCAAUGAGCUCCUCUCCAAGAUCCAAGCCUCCAACAAUGGUGGGAAAUGCUCUAAAAGGCAAAAGAGAGCAAAAACCACCUAAAAACCAAGAAAAAGGAAGAUGAAAUCCAAAAUGAGGCAAGGAGGAGCUCUCUCACCUGUUUCCUCUGAGUUCUGGGCUCAGGAAACCAAAGGGGAGGCGUGGGGUAUCAUAUAGAGGUGCAACAAUGCAAAAACACCCCUGCAGUUCGAACUGUUCGAAAACUGCCAAAGUGUACCGGUACACGGGAAAGUGUACCGGUACAAAUCCCACGAAAAUGCAAACCCGAGGCUCGGGUUUGAAAUUCGGCACAAGUGUACCGGUACAGCCAUCAAAAGUGUACCGGUACAAAAUGUGUACCGGUACAACCAUCGACAUGUCACCGGUUACACCUCGUGCAGAAUGCAAUCCGAGGGUAGGCUAAGUCCAACUCUUUAGUGACCUUAGCGCUACAUAAAAAUACUACAAUUCUCGGGAUAUGAGCCAUAGGUCGGAACACUGUCUACGACCCUCCAGAAAGUCUGGAAUAAACUCAAAACACAAGUGAAACACUCGAACCUUGCUAUUUGCGAAAGUCCAGUGUGUUACAUUCUCCCCUCCUAAAAAGGGGUUUCGUCCGAGAAACUGCGGGUCAGCCACACAACAAACCCAUCCGAAGAUGAUGGAAGAAGCGCUCCAGCAGCGCCCAAAACAGACCAUGAUGGUCUCAAGUGUGCCGGAAAACUCCAAGGCACAAACACAACAAGAUCUCGCGACGCCAAGGCUUUGGCAUAACACAACCCAAACUUCCGCAUAAGCUCCUUGAACUCAAGCCUUCACCGAAAGUUCCAUCUCCAAUCCGCACUUGAUCGACACGUCCAUCAGUUGGCCCUCACGAACCCAAGUGUUUCCGAAAGCUGAAUUCCAACUCUCACCUUCCUCGUCCAAGUCGAGGGUAAAGCCUUGCUCUGCUUCGAUUACUCUAGUAUAUAGAAUUCCAUCCAAAUCCCCCUCAAGUGUGGAUUCCACGGUGCUAACCAAAGCAAGCGUCAGGGGAGGGGGGGUUAAAUCCAUUACUCCUCUAUCGGAACUCCAUCGGAGUGCUCAUCUGAUCAACACUCACCAAGGGGAGGUGAUGCACAGUCCACUCGUAGGCUCUUAUUCCAACGAUGACCCUUCAAAUCCGAGGUCAACUCUCUUUUCGAGAUGGCACAAUUGAGUGCAAUUCAAUCCAAGGUUAAGUAUGGUGUACCCCUUCCAUCUCGUUGCUAAUUGCAACUUCCACCCAUCUAUCCAAUCUUGCUUGGCACGAACGGUUCUAAACCAACAUCCAAGGUAGCCAACCUUCCAAUAGUAAUAGGAAUCGACCCAUCGUCCAAACUCGCUCAUAAUGACGAUUAUUUAAUUCCUCAAUCGGCACGGCGAUACGACGUCUCCACAUCAAUCUCAAACUCACCACUCGGGAGUACCCUCGAAUCCAUUGCAAUAUGAGAUCGGGAACUAAGCUCAAAGGCUUCAUCAAUCCACUAAGUUCAUCAUAAUAGUCCCAACUCAAGUCCAAGUAAACUCUUGCAAGCCUAGGCCAAGGGCCUAGCUUCAACAGAAGGUCCAUAACACGACCGCUCGGAAAUUUUUGAUCUCAAUGCUUUCCCUAGCAUUGGAUGCUCCAGGUGUCCAUGGCCACCGAACUCAAUUCAUGUGAUAGAGAGGGAUCAAUCCAUAGUUCAGUAAUAGCUCUCUAUCAAAGUCGUCCUGAUGCGACUGUCAAACCAAAGUCAAUCCCAUAAGUCCUCAUAUGCAGUUCUAUCCCGAAGAACUCAAAUCCUUGUACAUGCUCCUGACACGGGAAAUUAGUAACCUGGUACCUUCCCUCCCGCGAGUUUUCCAUCCAUCAGUGAGAGUUCCACAACCCGAUCACUUCAAAUCUGCCUAGCAGUCUAAUCGCACACAUCCUAUAAGAAUACCCCAAGUCAUUCGCGACUGGUUCCACAAAUCCACACAGAGGACUCGAAAUUAUCAUUUCGCAAAUCCUUCCACUGGUGGAGUACUACAGGCAUAGGCAACAUCACCCUCGUGAUGUCACCAUCAAACAUCACAACCCGUUUGAGGUAUGACCUCAAACUCCAGUAUCAGACAGUACUACUCAGAUUGCUCACAAUCUUAUCGAGUACACCAACAACUCAAGGCCAUUUGACAAGGUCAAUGAGCCUCAGCAACGGUCCAAACCUCCAAUCGUGAUUCAAUUUGAAUGACGAGAGUAGACAUACAGUCAAAAUGGCCCAACCGGCCCCACAACAAGUGAGAGUGCUCCGUCACGAAACAAAACACCAAUCAUAGUACCUCCCCGGCAAUCGAGCUAUCUAUUAGUGACUCGAUCGGGGACAUAACGACCGAUCAAGGACAUCCUUUAUUUCAAGGAUUCUCGACCACCCAAAGCUAAUGGCCACUCAGGCCCUAAACCCUCUCCAACACUUACCCAAUUUUAGGUAAGGGAGACAAUCAACACAUCUAGCGGAAGUAAAUCCUCAAAUCGCACUAUUUCGUGCACACAGUCCUCAAGGCGAGUCAAGUCAGCUCGCAAACCAAGGGUACCAGGUACCCACAACAACUCCACACCAAGGAAGGCCAAUCUAUUUGUUGGCACACAGAACCAUCUCACGGGGUAGGGCGUUCAAAACGACACACCCGAUCAACCGAUCAUCCACACGCGCCAAAGGCUCAACGCUAACAAAUCCUCGGGUUGGGUAACUACACACUCAGUGUGUCCUCGAUCUCACGAUCCAACACGUGGCUUUCCACGCUCCAGGGUCCAGGCUCGGACUACCAUCCUGACCAAAACUCUGCCCUACCAACAGGUACCGGGCCGCUGUCACACACAGCCGACUGCGCCUGCCCAACGGGCCCAGGCUCCACAGUCCCCAAAUGGUCCAGGCACGGUCGUCUCCAAGCCCCAUCCGGCAAACAGCCGAGCCAGGGAUACAACUAAUGCAAUCCUCGUGAGAUCUACAAGCAUAGCAAAAUAUGCUACCCGCAACCCGCAAAUCAAUCGCCUAGCUCGAGGGGCUACACAAUGUCGCAAACAUCGAACUAACGAAAUGCCAUGCAACUCGGCGAAUAGCCGAUCAGAAUAUAGAUGCAAUGCACCAAUAGCAAACAAUGCACAACUCAAAUGCCACAAGAGGGACUGAUACCUGAAAUCACAAACUCGGCCACUGCUGCCUCCUCCACCUGGCUGCAUACAUGCGCCCACUCGGGCCUACCGUGACCCCUCCGUCUGUCUCUGGACAAGUGGCCUCCCGGCCUGAUAGUGAGAAAAAGGCGUCCCCUGGCUGGGACUCGGUAAUACUGGUGCCGGUGCUGAAGAUGGAGCUGAUACCAAACCUCUCGGACAGUCUGACUGGAAGUGACCCUCCUGGCCACACGAAUAGCACCUGCCCUGCCUCUGUGAGCACUGCUGCGGGUAAUGACGGCCACCGCAAAUCACGCAGCUCAGAGUCUGACGACGCUCAGAUCCUCCACGCCGUGCUACUGAUGAGCCACGUCCUCGCGACUGGCUCUGGUUCCUGGAAUGUCUCGACGGCCUCCCAGAGUACGUCUGACUCGCACCCUCAGUCGCGGGCCUCUUGCCUUUUCCUUUGUUUGAGCCUUCUCGACGCUCCUGCAAGUCUGCCGCGCAGCUUUCCACAAUGAGCACGCGGUUCACCACAUCUUGGCAAGUCCGAGGAUUGGAGAGUUGCACCAACUGAUAGAUCGACGGCCGAAGUCCUCGCUCGAAGAUGCGGGCCUUAUCCUCGUCGUCCCGCACGACAAAGGGCGCGUAGUGUAGAAGCCGAGAGAACUCCCUCUCAUACUCGGCCACGGUCCAAUCCCCCUGGCGCAUCUCGCGCAGAUCCUGCUCCAUCUUCCUCGUAACACGGACGAGGAAGUAGUGCUCCAAUAAGAGCUCCUUGAAUCUCUUCCAAGAAAUCGCUGCUAGGUCGGUGUUGGGAUUAUCCUGGAUGCCCACCCACCAACUAUAGGCCUCGUCGUCUAAAUAGUGAGUGGCGAGCCAAACUCUACCUCUCUCCUCCACGAAGGUGUCGCGGAAUAACUUCUCCAUGUGCAUCAACCACUUCUCAACGAUCCAGUGGUCGGCUUUCUCUCCAUCGUAGAUCCUGGGAUCGCACCUCCUGAACUCGUCGAGGCGAUCCAUGAGCCGCUGACGCUCCGCUCUUUCAACCAUCAAGGGAAAAGUCGCCGCUGCCACAGGCACCUGAGCUGGUGGUGCUGCCAAUACCUCCUCCCGAAGGCUACCGUAAGUGUCGUCUGCGAAGUGUCGAGUACAGGGGACGACCCCCCGGGCACAACUGUCUCCACUGGCGCGGGUAGUACAGAGACCUAAGCCUCUCUGGCAGCUGCCUGCUGUAAAAGAAGGUCCUCCAGGCGCUGCAUCCAUACCUCCUGCCGGCGUGCUGUAUCCACCAGCUGUCGAGUCGUCGCCGCCUGCUAUGUUACGAAAUCAGCGAGGGCCGCAAGCUGACUCCUCAACUCACGGACCUCACCGGAUCCGGGGGUAGCGGAUGUCUCCGCUUCCUCAAAAGUCGCCGCAUCGUCCGCUCUAACAGACUUAGAGCGUGUAGCCGGCAUCAACACUACAACAUCAUAAUAGCGCAAGUUAAUAUAACCCACACUAUCGGAACCCCGCUCAAAUGACAAUACCCCAAAUCAUGCGAAAGUAAAGAAGUGUCCCAACUACUAACUCCCGAUGUUACGUUGUCGGCCGCCAACGUAACCCUCCGCGAAGUUAGAAGCCAUACACUUCGAUCGAACUCGAACCUUCUUGGAGUUAUCAAAGAAACCCAAUCAUGAUACUUUCGCUCAUAAAUUAAAUAGACCUCGUCUCUCACGAGUCUAAUUCCUAUAGUCCAACAAAUCGACUUAGCUUUACUAAGUCCAAAGCUCAAGGUGAAGUUCCCACAUUCACUAUGUUUAGUGCCCUCUUUAUGACACUUAAUAUUGCUAUAAUCUAAGCUCAAUUCACAUUCUAUGUUCUCUUUAUGACGCUAGCUUGUUCUAUCAAUAAUAGAUUAAUACACAUGCUCUCUAGCGUGUUCUCAUAUUGCUACAUGUAAGUUCAUCCCAAUGCGACUAUUAACUUAGCAAAUUCUCAUAAUAAUAACAUGCACAUGCAUUUGCAUAUCCAUCAAGUCUAAUGCCGCUUUAUGACAAUUAGCUUGCUAAAUCCAUAUCUUAGUCCAAGCCUAAUGCCGCUUUAAUGACAUUAGCUUACUAUUUGUAUACACUCUAGCCUAUUCACUUAAUGUCGAUAUAUCCAACCGCGUCAAUCAUGCGUUCUAAGUCCAAGAGUGUAAUCUAUAUGCCAUAUUGUACCAUAUGCAACAUGAUCUCAAUCAAUUGUAAGAAUGCUAAUCGUAGUCCCUAGCCCAACAUGAAAACUCUCUACUAUAUAUGAGGUUCGAAAAUGCAUUAUACAUAACUGUGCGUAUUUUAAGCAUUCUAAAAUUCACAAUUGAUCAUCUAGCAUAAUAUGCAAGCAUUUUCAUUUUAGGAUAAAUAAAACCAUCAUAAGAGAAUUUUGUUUCAUUUGGUGAGGCCAAACCCCACGAACCGUCGUGUAGUCCCUCGUUUUGCCGAACGGAGUUGUCCACGAGUCUCAAAAUACCCUAAAAAGUAAUGAGCGAAGGAUACACAAGGAUACGAACAACGAAUAGGUUAAACAUUAACAACUCAAUGAAAGGGCCAAACUCACCUAUGGUGGUGAAAAUCCCUCUCAAGCUCCAAAAGAGAGCUAAAUCCCUUUCAAUGCAACCUAGAUAAAGGUUCUAAUCCAAUCAAU